GAUGAACGCUGGCGGCGUACCUAAUACAUGCAAGUCGAGCGAACGGACGAGAAGCCUGCUUCUCUGAUGUUAGCGGCGGACGGGUGAGUAACACGUGGAUAACCUACCUAUAAGACUGGGAUAACUUCGGGAAACCGUAGCUAAUACCGGAUAAUAUUUUGAACCGCAUGGUUCAAAAGUGAAAGACGGUCUUGCUGUCACUUAUAGAUGGAUCCGCGCUGCAUUAGCUAGUUGGUAAGGUAACGGCUUACCAAGGCAACGAUGCAUAGCCGACCUGAGAGGGUGAUCGGCCACACUGGAACUGAGACACGGUCCAGACUCCUACGGGAGGCAGCAGUAGGGAAUCUUCCGCAAUGGGCGAAAGCCUGACGGAGCAACGCCGCGUGAGUGAUGAAGGUCUUCGGAUCGUAAAACUCUGUUAUUAGGGAAGAACAUAUGUGUAAGUAACUGUGCACAUCUUGACGGUACCUAAUCAGAAAGCCACGGCUAACUACGUG
rnacentral:rRNA from 1 species